UGGGGAAUUUUGGACAAUGGGCGCAAGCCUGAUCCAGCAAUGCCGCGUGCAGGAUGAAGGCCUUCGGGUUGUAAACUGCUUUUGUACGGAACGAAAAAGCUCUCUCUAAUACAGGGGGUGAAUGACGGUACCGUAAGAAUAAGCACGGGCUAACUACGUGCCAGCAGCCGCGGUAAUACGUAGGGUGCAAGCGUUAAUCGGAAUUACUGGGCGUAAAGCGUGCGCAGGCGGUUUUGUAAGACAGAGGUGAAAUCCCCGGGCUCAACCUGGGAACUGCCUUUGUGACUGCAAAGCUGGAGUGCGGCAGAGGGGGAUGGAAUUCCGCGUGUAGCAGUGAAAUGCGUAGAUAUGCGGAGGAACACCGAUGGCGAAGGCAAUCCCCUGGGCCUGCACUGACGCUCAUGCACGAAAGCGUGGGGAGCAAACA
rnacentral:rRNA from 1 species